GUCGGGUGUGAAAUCUUGGAGCUUAACUCCGAAACUGCAUUCGAUACUGCCGUGCUUGAGGACUGGAGAGGAGACUGGAAUUUACGGUGUAGCGGUGAAAUGCGUAGAUAUCGUAAGGAAGACCAGUGGCGAAGGCGGGUCUCUGGACAGUUCCCGACGCUGAGGAGCGAAAGCCAGGGGAGCAAACGGG
rnacentral:rRNA from 1 species